rnacentral:lncRNA from 1 species
AUUCACGAUAUUAAUUACUGCGCAACCUAUGAUGUGACAAAGCCGCCGCACGUCAUAUGAAACGACGAAAUAACAUCUCGUUCCACGAAACAACAAAACAGCUGGACACAGCUUCCGGAGCAACAAUAAAUGCAGAUCAUCGGGAAAAGCAAUACGAAUCCAUACGACAAUUAACUCUUCUCAUCCAAUUAAAGUUAUAAAAUCAAACUCAGGAGUAAAGGGA